GAUGAACGCUGGCGGCGUGCCUAAUACAUGCAAGUCGAGCGAACAGACGAGGAGCUUGCUCCUCUGACGUUAGCGGCGGACGGGUGAGUAACACGUGGAUAACCUACCUAUAAGACUGGGAUAACUUCGGGAAACCGGAGCUAAUACCGGAUAACAUGUUGAACCGCAUGGUUCAACAGUGAAAGACGGUCUUGCUGUCACUUAUAGAUGGAUCCGCGCCGCAUUAGCUAGUUGGUAAGGUAACGGCUUACCAAGGCAACGAUGCGUAGCCGACCUGAGAGGGUGAUCGGCCACACUGGAACUGAGACACGGUCCAGACUCCUACGGGAGGCAGCAGUAGGGAAUCUUCCGCAAUGGGCGAAAGCCUGACGGAGCAACGCCGCGUGAGUGAAGAAGGUCUUCGGAUCGUAAAACUCUGUUAUUAGGGAAGAACAAAUGUGUAAGUAACUAUGCACGUCCUGACGGUACCUAAUCAGAAAGCCACGGCUAACUACG
rnacentral:rRNA from 1 species